GGGCGUUUGGCAGAACGAUGAUGCACCGGACUUUUAAUCUGGAUGAAGUAGGUUUGACUCCUACAGCGCCCCCCA
rnacentral:tRNA from 1 species